rnacentral:tRNA from 1 species
GCAAGAAACGUGGCCGAGUGGUCAGGGCGUCGGACUUGUAAUCCGGAGGUCCCGGGUUCAAGCCCUCCAUUCUUCCA